rnacentral:rRNA from 1 species
UACGUAGGGUGCAAGCGUUAAUCGGAAUUACUGGGCGUAAAGCGUGCGCAGGCGGUUUUUUAAGUCAGUUGUGAAAUCCCCGGGCUCAACCUGGGAACUGCAUCUGUGACUGCAUAGCUAGAGUACGGUAGAGGGGGAUGGAAUUCCGCGUGUAGCAGUGAAAUGCGUAGAUAUGCGGAGGAACACCGAUGGCGAAGGCAAUCCCCUGGACCUGUACUGACGCUCAUGCACGAAAGCGUGGGGAGCAAACAGG